CCUACGGGUGGCAGCAGUGAGGAAUAUUGGUCAAUGGGCGCGAGCCUGAACCAGCCAAGUCGCGUGAGGGAAGACGGUCCUAUGGAUUGUAAACCUCAUUUGUCGGGGAGCAAAAGACGCCAACCGUGGCGUUCCGAGAGUACCCGAAGAAAACGCAUCGGCUCACUCCGUGCCAGCAGCCGCGGUAAUACCGAGGAUGCGAGCGUUAUCCGGAUUUAUUGGGUUUAAAGGGUGCGCAGGCGGAAGCUCAAGUCAGCGGUAAAAUUGAGCGGCUAAACCUGUGCGAGCCGUUGAAACUGGUUGUCUUGAGUGAGUGAGAAGUAUGCGGAAUGCGUGGUGUAGCGGUGAAAUGCAUAGAUAUCACGCAGAACUCCGAUUGCGAAGGCAGCAUACCGGCGCUCAACGGACGCUGAUGCACGAAAGUGUGGGUAUCGAACAGGAUUAGAUACCCCUGUAGUC
rnacentral:rRNA from 1 species